rnacentral:lncRNA from 1 species
CUCAAAAUCAUAUUAACAUAAACUGUAUAUAUCAAAAAUAAAAUCCAGUUUGAAACUAUACAUUUAUAUAAAUUAUACAAGGACAAACUUUAAAUGUUUGAAAUGUAUAUAUGAAAAAAAAAUAAGAUCUAGUUUGUUGAACUAUACAUUUAUCUAAAUUCACUCCACACUUUAAGCACAGAAUCAAUACCACCGAACCGUUUUCAGUAUAGUUGAAUCCUUAGUUAGCCUUCCACCAUUGAUCCCAAAUGUUUACAUGGCAACCCUACACAUAUAAAUAAGAUAAUAAGAAAUGAGAGACUGCAAAAUGUUAUAAACAGUCAACGCAUCCAAAUAGGGAGAUGGAGAUGGGAAAAAAAAAAUAAGGGCAAAAAAUCUUGCCUUAGUCAUAUUGAUACCAUGCAAAUUUAUCACAAUUGUACAGUACAUCAACCACAACAAAUUGACCAAAUCACAAAGGACCUUCACUUUUACUUUUUUUUACAGGGAAAGAUAAUCAAAUUAAAUAUAGAUUUACUUGCAUGCUAGGCUAAUGACUAAACAAAAUCAUUCUUGGAAAGUCAUAUUAGCCACAUUCGACAUUACCAAUCUGAAUAGGCACCUUAAUAUCAUUCUAUUUCGGAUUAAUCUUUUUCACUUGUCCUUUUUAUAACCCAAACUGAACCCAAAUGGUUUCAAAUUUAUAACCCAAACUGAACCCAUAUAUCUGAAUUAAAUUCAGUUUGGGUUACAAAUUCGGUUUACAAUAAUUUCAAAAAAUACAAUCCAAUUUUUUUCCCCAGAAAAUCACAAAACCUAAAAUGAAAAAGAACUAAAAAUUAAAAUCCCUCUACAUUAUUCAAUUGUCUUCAACAAUCAAUUGCCUUCAACAAUAGCUAACUAAACUACUUAUAACAGCCUUCAACAACAAAAAAUCUUCAGAUUACUAUUAUUACAAACACACCACAAUCAAUUAUAAAACACCCAUGAAAAGAGUGACGAUGAUGACCAAGAUCUGUGUGAGACAAGAAGUGAGAGAUUAUGAUGGAAGAUAUGAGUCGGAUCAUCCAAAGUGUUCAACUACUUCACCACUUGAAGGACGGUAAAGCGAGAUGUAGCUGGUUCGCAGAGGCAACAAGCUUGACAGUGGCACGACGAACAGUGGAAGAAGACAGUUGCCAUUGAGUUUGGGAAUGAGGGGCUAAGUUUGAGAUAAAUGAAGGGGAGAUAAGUUUGAAUAAAAGAGGAUUCACAGGCUGAGUCCAAGUGUGAGAGAGGAGUUUGAGAAAAAUUAGGAUAGAGAUUUGGGGGAGAAGAUUAGGGGUUUCAAAUAAACUAACCCAUUCUUACAAUCACACAGAAACUGAGAGAAAGCGAGAUGGAAACCCCAUUCAGAUUUUGAAAGCCAAAACAUAAUUUUAAAAUAAUCUACAAUUAGUCCAGCAUGUUGUCCUUAACUCUUGAACAUGCUCUUCCUUCUCAACUACUUUUUUUUUUUUUUUUUAUCCCAAUGAUAAAUGAAUUUCAAAAUAAUCUAUAAUUAGUCCAGCAUGUUGUCCUUAACUCUUGAACAUGCUCUUCCUUCUCAACUACUUUUUUUUUUUUUUUAUCCCAAUGAUAAAUGAAUUUCAUCUCCUCUGUUUCCCUUUAGAACAAAUGAGAGCGACAUUUCAUAGACUUGAUAGUGAAAUGUCAUUUUAUUAUGGAACAGGAUAUUGUCUCUUAGAUCCAUCUGUAGUUUCUCACCUAAACCACCACCCUGUAAUGCUCAUCUAACAGUCACUAAGUCGCACAAGUCAUGCAGUAAUUGUAUUUUGGUUCUGAAAUUAGACUAGGACAGAAAUUUGACUUUGAUAUAAACAAGAAAGUUUUAUUAAGUUUAUUUACUUAGAUAGAAUAACAAGACAAUGGACAAACAGAGAGAAAAGGAUGUGUUACUCUCAUAAACAUCUAGGAUGUGCAUUCACCAGCUAUAGUAUAUCCAAUCAUUUCAGUAGCUAAUAGCAGAACAUUGCUGGCAUAAACAUCUCAAGUAAAUCCAACAAGAUUAUAAUUUAUGUGCAUAAACAUCUCAAGUAAUGUCCAUAGCAGAACAAAUCUAGAAUCUAAAAUAAUUCCAACAAGGUAUAAAUCUCAAAUCCCUACUACUAUUUUGAGACUCGAGUAAUUUCAAACUGAAAAUAUUACAUAUUCAAUUAUUACCUGAAAUCAACAUCAUUCUUGGUGGAAUCAAUGAGGAAGUGACGUUCUCAAUGGAAUCAAUGAGAGGAACAGCACAAUAAUCUGCUUGAAGAGAAGGAAGAAAAUAAUAUCCUAGGUUAAUUAAACAAUAAUCAAUCAAAAUUGAUGAGGAAGUGUACUGACCGACAUAAAAUUAUCACAUGGCCACGAUUGAGAAUAAAAUGAAAAUUAUUUGUGCGUCCUUUGUUUUCUGAAUGGGAACAAAGAUGAGACUUAGAAUCAAUUAAAUCAAACCCAAAAUUGAUUAAAAGAACAAUUUAUUCAAGCAUAACAAUAAAAUUAUCUAAACUAGAACGAAAGAAGUGAAAAAAAUAUCAAAAUCAAAGGAAAAAAAAAACACCUGACAUUUGCGAAGCAAAUGAGGCCGAAGAAUGUUGAAAUUCUUCAUCAUAAACAAAAAUGAAAGAGAGAAGUUAAAAAAGUUAUCAAUUUGACUAAAUAGUGAAAUCACCAGGCUACAUUGCUAUUGUUGUCUAAAAUUGAAACACUAGGGUGAAUUUACAGCCUCAAUAAAAAAAAAAUCAUUAAUUAAAGGCAUUACGAGUGACGAAAUCAAACUUAGGGCAUUGAAUAGAGAGAAAUCACGUGAAAGAGAGUAAGAGUGAAAUAAUUAGCUUAGUUCUUCUUCACGCAAUCGAGAAGUGAGAAUAAACAAUGGAGACCAGUCUUAAUUCUAUUAGAGAGCGUUUAAUUCAGAAGAUGGAGGCUUGGAGUUAUGAUUUUGGAAGCUUUGAUCGGAGAUGAGAAAUGGCGGCUGCGAGCUUAUUGAAUCGUCGAUCUCUGAGGAAUGUUUGCUUUUUGCUAUUUCCAGUGGAAUGUCACUUAAUAAUCAAAACAGGGCUUUUUUUUUUUAAUUUAAAUACCGAACGCUUUAAGGUUUAUGCUCAGUUUUUUUUAAAAAAGGCCAAUAUAUAUUAUUUUAUUUCUUUUUUUGGGAA